AUGUAAUAUGCAAUAUAUCCAGUUGGGGUUGCGUGUAAUUGUGAGGGCACAACACUGGGGGUGUGUAUGGGAGAUUACAGAAGUUUGCAUCAAGGGAGCAGAUCAUGGGCGAAGGGUGUCGCUGUCGAAUUUCUAUGGGGAAGAAAAAAAUAGAAAAAAUUCUCCAGAGGGAGUCCCUCGGUCCCUUUUCGUGGGCGAAAUGUGUUGCGUGACUCACGAGCGCACCCUGUGCUUGCAGUAAGGGGGGAGGAAGAGGAGGGUAUAAAGAAAAGACUGCUGAUGCGUUAAAUAGUCCCGGUCACUGAUGGCAAGUCUCAUGAUUCUCACCGCUGUAUACAAAUACAUGUUCACUCCGCCGUGUCGUUUGCCAUUAUUUUUCCAACCCCUCCGGCCGUUUUCCUAUAAUAUGGAACCCAACAAUAUAUUAUGAAAAGGAGAAAUGGUCUUUCUAUAUUACAUAUUGCGUAGUAGUAUAAGAUGUGUAGAUUUUAUAUCCUCAAAACUGAAAUUGUCUCAGCUGUUUAGUUUCCCCAAUUUUUCGAUCGGCACUUCGCUACCCCCUUUGGGAAAUGAAAUGCUGAUUAGACAUAUAAAUAAAAGUAUAGUUGGACGUGAUGUGGUUUUUCAAAUGAUGAAAACGUUUCAUUAGUCAGGCUCCAUAUAUCCAGCAGCAGCCCAGUCUCAUAUAUAGUUUCAAUGUGCCGUGGUGGUGGUGAUGAUGACCAUCUGGUUGUUUCUUGCGGUGUCGGAUGAGGGUUGCGAUUGGUUUCGCUCCGAUUAAGGGAAAACGAACCCAAAAAAAAGGAGGAAAAUGUUAAGGGGGGCAGCUCCCACUUUAGAUAAUAUCCAUCCAUCCCCUCUUAUUCUUGAUAUUAUAUGUACCUACGUAUAUAUAUCGGUCGGAUGAUGAAUGAACGCCGAUCAUCGGAUACGGCACCGAAAUGACGAGGGAAAUAUCUUGACAAGUUGCGCCUUGAUAAAUGAUCGGAUCAAAGAACAUCCAGGCCAUAGAGAAAAAAAAGACGAUCCAUCAAUGCGAAUGCGGAAGAGACCGCGCUGUGUCCAUUGCGCAGGAAAUGAAUGAUUUUAUGUACAAGGCCUAUAUAUUGAUACAGCUGUGUGGCCGCCAAUGUUAACUCUACACAUUUAUAGACAGAUUCAAAUUAACACUAUAUCCGACAUCAUCUACUUGUAACCAUUGCGAGGGGAUUUAGUGUUUAUAUGCGCCAUUUAAAAAAGAAAAAAGUCGCAAUGUAGACAGGAGAUAUGCGGUCCCGCCGGUCCCCCAUCACCCCGGACGCGGUAAAUGGAAUCUCGGAUGGAUGUAAUCCGUCGUGUAUAAUUCCAUCGCGGCGCAAAGCACACAGCCAUUUUGAUUGACGGGCGCUCUGCUGCGAGCUUUGGAUUUCUCAAAUUAUAUAUCUCGAGAGAAACGCGCAACACAUCACGGAAUUUGAUUGACUUUCCAUUUUGAAAAUAAAAUAGACGGAGAGUAUAGCGCGCUAGCUGGCUGGAUGGCUGGUAUAGAUGGUAGCAGCAGCACUCAAAUCAUCAAGCGACCAAGUGGAAUCAAGUGGAGGAUGACGCCCCCCCCCCCUGAUGCGUGACACACACCAAAUACCAUCCAGAGUUCAAAGCAGCUGAAAAUGCCAUCGCCAACAUAUCCAAUCCGAUUAUACACGAAAGCGAGUUGAUCUAAUCCUGUACACCAGACGAGCUGCUGCCGCUGUUCGCAACGUCACAUGUAAACCAUUCGGAGAUGUAGAUAUAAAUGUGGCCCUAGAGGUAUCUCUCUCUCCGAUUUUUACCGGUAUAAAUACACAGGGCGGGGGAAGGGAGGCUUUAUUGCAAUUCGCGCGGGAUCGACCCUCGGCCACGUCAUAGCAGAGGGUGGCGUUCGGAUGUUAGUAAAUAGUUCACCCUCUUCAUGAAUUGAUCUCGAGGAGUGAUCCCUUUCUCUUCUUUUUUUUUUCUCUGCUCUUUUCGGUGUGUUGCAUAUGUAUAGAUGACAGUCUGUACAUGGUAUAGGAGCAGAGUUAUAUUGUAUAGGAACUGGGACGUUGACUAUCAAAAACCCUGAUGCGUGAUUGCCUCCACUCUCUCUCUCCCUUUUUCUUCUCUACGACUGUCGUAUAGACAUAAAUGUAUAUUCUUGUGUUAUAGGGGUGCAGGGUGGGCUGCCAUUGGGUGAAUGGUGUAUAGGGGGAACGUUCUCAUUUAUUGAUGAAGAAUUUAAAAGAUCGGCGUGACUCAGCCCGCGGCUGCGGUUUGAUCCAUUUUCUAUAGACCCGGCGACUUCUCCCCCACAAAAUUAAACCAGGGGAGGAAAAAAAAAAUAGCAAGAGGAAAUACUUUUUUGUUAUUAGAGGGGAAAAAUUUAAGGGAGUAAUGUAUUACAAUUGAUGAUGAUAUGCACUCUAAGAGAUGAUGGAAAAAUGGAAAAAAAGGCUAAACAAUAAGUUGGGAUUUAUAUUGAUCAAUCAAUCAAAAUCACAUCCCAAAUCUUUACUGUUGUUGGGAAGGAAGAAUUUUGUGGUUUUUUUGAAAUAUAAUACUUUAAUCUACACCAUCUAGUGCUACAUUCAUAUUUUGGUUACUUUGGUCGAACUCAUUUGAGCCUCAACGCCAUUAAGUGUGACAUUUACGUUUUUUAAUGCUGUGCUGUCAUUUCAUCAUAUAUGAAAUUUUAAAAUUAAAUCAUAUUAAAUCAAUUUGAUUAAUUCAUUAAAACUUCAGAAAAUUGGCAGCACUGCGCCACCGCAUCCAGUUCUCACGGAAAUUCGUCUGCUAAAGUAGGCAAUUCUCACGUGUCACGUCGGUAUUUCUGGAGGGUCACGUACGGUAAGAAUGUUAUCAUAGCAUAGUGUUAAAGUUUCAGCCACAGAACAUUGAUUUUUCUAUUAUUAUGAGAGUUUGCAAAAUAAGUCCGUUCACGCAAAAGUUUUGAUUGUUUCCCUAUUUCUCAAUCGUAGUACUUGUGCUAUCUUCGGUUGUCCCGCCCUCCUACAGCUACAGGUUGUUACGUGUUGAAACGAAAGAAGGCAAGUCAGGGAAAUGUAUGAAACAGCCCAGGGUUUCAAUAUCUGUGCAAGAAGUGAGAAAUGGUUUGUUGUGUUUAAUGAUGAUAAGAAGCUUGUGUUACAUGUGUCUUUAUCGGCCAAUGUUACCCCAUCACUUAGCUUAAAAGGCGAUAGCAAGUCUAACUAUCCUCUCUCUCUUUAGAUACUAUGUGUAACUGGUGAAAUCAGCAAGAAUCCAGAAACGAAGAAAGAGUACCUGAUAAAGUCAACCCACUUUCAUUCUACAUGGAUCCUAGUUAAAAAUUGGGCAACAAAAUAUUGCUGCUGAAGUAAAAUGCUACCCAGCAAAUGAGAAGAUCGUCGACGUUGGUGACGAAACGUAUGUGAGGGAUCGUUGACAGGCAGCCCAGUAUUCGCCCACGUGUUCCAGGUUCGACAGAGAGAAUGGUGGAGCAAUCUUCCGUGGCUUAUGUGCUACAACACGAGCAACGAGAUUAAACAAAUGAAGUGAGAGAAUGCAGCCGUCAACGACACCGUCUUCAUUUACUUCCCUCGCAGGUUGCUGAUCGGUGAUACACAAUGAACAAGGAAGCUCUAUCUUGAUGGCAGCUCUUGACUCUGGAGUUUAACACAGCAUCUUGAUCAGACUCAAAUAGGAAAGCAACAAGUACAAUGACAACUCUCGGAGUUAGGAACAGCAUUUUGAGCAGUAGUACAAGAAAAAUUACCCAAUAAAGACUCAGGAAACUUUGGAUCACGACCGUCAUCGGCGAGAAUUUGGUUCAUUGCAAAACUCAUGUUUGUCGAAAAACUGACAGCGGGAAGAAAUUGGAUAAUUUGGUGAUGAAACUCAUGCCAUGGAUGACAGUUAUACGUGACACAGUUGACAAACGAGCUUGAGAUGCAUAAAAUAAUUCAAAAUUUGCGGGAAUUUGAAGAAUUAGGUAGGUGAAGGAGGUAUGAGAAAUCCAAAUGCGCCGUCAUUUUCAUGGUUCACGUCGAUCCGCGUCCAGCUAGUAUUCACCUAGUGCAGCUAACUCCCAAAAGCAAGCAGAGGUUAUUCUGCGCCGCUAUUCAAUGGAUUGAAUCCGUUGAACCUGACGAGAGAUGACAUCUCAGCGACGACGAACUGAUGUGCCGUCAUUCAGCAAUACUGCUCACUUGCGUGCUGUCCUUUCGUCGCUCCGAUUCAUCGAGGAGUUGAGCCUGGUCCAGCUACGCGGCCAGCUGCCAGAACAAUUGGAUUACCCAGCCGACUUGUAAGUUACUCUAGCUCUCAACACAGCACAGAGUUUUACUCUUUAGAUUAUGUUUGGCUGUUUGCCAUGUGUGAUGGCGUUUUCUUGUGUGGGACUACACUAAUCUUUCCCUAUCGAAACUGGCCUCACACUCCUCACUUCUUCCUUGUCCAGGUUAUCUCCCUGGACACAGUCAAUCAAGGCAGUGUCUCCCCUUUCUUGAUUGACUGAACUUUGUGAGGAAAAUUGAACAUUUCAUAUUGAUAAAAUUAAUUUAAUGGAGGUAAAAUAUAAAUAUUUAUGAUGAGGGAUGAUAAACAUAUGUAAAUAAUAGUGUCAAUAAGCUUGUAAAGUUAUAUUUUCUUCUUUAAAAUACAAUUUUGUAUAUAUA
rnacentral:lncRNA from 1 species